UUGCAAUGAUGUAUGAAUUUCUUCACCUGAAUCUUUGCUGAAGAGCAAAACCGAGCUUUUUAACACUGAGCAAU